AUCAGCCAGGUAGAUUGUAUCCACAAGGAAGAAUACAAGAACCUGAACUAAGAGCAGGGGAGAGUUGAGGAAUCAACAUGACAUGGCCUCCAUUUUGCAGAUGAGGAAAAGGGGGCUCAAUACCUACCUAACAUCUAUCUUCCCAACAACUCUGCCAGGGAAGGAAUAGUUUCCACAUUUCAUAAAUGAAGAGACUGUGUGAGACUCAGAGAGGCUAAGCAAACUGCCUGAUGCUGUGGAGUGACACACAGCGAUGGAGAUGAGUUUCAGAUCUGCAUCUGUCUGGCUUCAAAAUCCCUUUUCUUUCCAUGACAACAAAACUAAGGAGAAGAGAAAGAUACUGGGACACACUGGGAAACUUGGAUUCAAGUUCUGGUUUUUCCAGAGAGCUCCAUGUGGAUCAUGAUGAUAAUUUCUUCACACCCUAAAGCCUUGAAAUGGGCUAAAAAUGCCCACAUGGGGGUUGUCAUGAGGAGAAUCUGGAUAAUAGAAUAAAUAUGA